AGGCGGCGAGACCACGCCUCGAGCACGGC
rnacentral:sRNA from 1 species